CUACCUGAGGGCGCGAAUGCGGAAGAAGCCCGCGCCACUCGCCGACCCUUAUUCCUGUGCGGGGAGCCCAGCUUCUCGGCCAGCGUACCUUCUAGGAAGCUCGGAGGCUUCGCAACUCUCUGGUCCGUUUACUAGAGAAGGGGCCUCAGUCUCACGCACCCCUGGUCGAGGCCAAUCAACUGCCGCAGAGGGUCCCGGUUGGGGCACGUGACUUUCAGGCCCCGCCCGGCCGGUUCCCGCCCAGCCAAGCAGUUCGGAAUCUCUAACAAGAAUCACCAUGAGGCUUUGAAAACUCUAACCGCGAGACCUUCCCCUCCCACACCAGUUGAACCAGAAUGCGUUAAGAUGGGCCCUUGUGCAACUGCAGCGCGAGCAGGGGAGGAGCAGAGAAAGAGGGAAACACAGAAUCCAAAGCUGGCUCCCAGCUGUCAGCACAGAGCCCAACACAGGGCUUGAACCCACAGACCGUGAGAUCAUGACCUGAGACAAAGUCGGUUGCGCAACCAUCUGAGCCACCCAGGCGCCACUAGAGUGACCACCUUUUCAGAGAGCCAACCCUGGACACAGUCCUACCAGACGAAUAACAUACUCCCUGAGUCAAUCAUGGUCCAGAAGCAGACGAUCCUUCUGACAUAUCCUGAGAAGGUAGAUAGUAGC